AUUAGAAAAGCUCCCAAUAUCCUCCGCUAAGUAGCAAACAAUGCCUCAAUUUGAUGAUAUUACUCCGAAUCAAGUCUUUUUAGAAAUAUCCUGAGGAAACAUAGGGAUGUCUUCCCCAGAAUGCAUUUGGUUUCUUUUUUUAUACCCAUCGUCGUUCACGGAGGUGCAGCUCAUCGCAAACCUGGAACGGUUUUGAGAUUUUGGUGUGUUUUCUGGAUGGACUUUUCUAUGGAAUAUAUGUAGGAUCUGCAUUUAAGAUUAGUUAGGAAACUUAACUGAAAGUUUAACAGUUUCAUGUCACAUGCAACUUACCUCAGACCAUUAGGUGAUUAAGGGAGUGUUUGCAUUUGCUUUU